rnacentral:rRNA from 1 species
UACGAAGGGGGCUAGCGUUGCUCGGAAUCACUGGGCGUAAAGGGUGCGCAGGCGGGUCUUUAAGUCAGGGGGGAAAUCCUGGAGCUCAACUCCAGAACUGCCUUUGAUACUGAAGAUCUUGAGUUCGGGAGAGGUGAGUGGAACUGCGAGUGUAGAGGUGAAAUUCGUAGAUAUUCGCAAGAACACCAGUGGCGAAGGCGGCUCACUGGCCCGAUACUGACGCUGAGGCACGAAAGCGUGGGGAGCAAACAGG